rnacentral:lncRNA from 1 species
AUGAAAUACAUAUUCCCCCAUCCCUCUCCCUCUCCCCCAACCCUCUCCCUCUCCCUCUCCCUCUCCCUCUCCCUCUCCCUCUAUCUCUCCCUCUAUCUUUCCCUUGCUCUCUGUCAUUCUCUUCUCACUCCAGGCCUUGGGUGGAAAAUGUGCUUGAUCUUCAGUCUAACUUGCAGGCACAGCCUGAGUCACAGCUCAGUCUUAAGCUGGGUACUUGGAAACGCAAAUUCACUGUUUCACAUCAGCAGGGUGUCUGCCAUUGGGUAUACAGCAACAGUAACUUUGAAAUGCUCAGACUGUGCAGCCCUGCCGACGCGUUUUCCAAGCCAGAAGGAAUUUGCCAUGAUGCAGAAUGGGACCCGGUGGCCCGCAGCACCCUGCCUGGGCUUUUCAAAAUGAGAAAUAGGGGCCGGAGCUAUGGCGCAGCAGGUAAAGCCGCCGUCUGCAGUGCCGGCAUCCCACAUGGGCGCCAGUUCAUGUCCUGGCUGCUCCACUUCUGAUCCAGCUCUCUGUUAUAGCCUUGGAAAGCAGCGGAAGAUGGCCUGAGUCCUUGGGUCCCUUUACCCGUGUGCGAGACCUGGAAGAAGCUCCUGGCUUCGACAUAGCUCCUGGCUCGUGGCUCCUGGCUCCUGGCUUCGGAUCAGCACAACUCCUGCCAUCGCAGCCACCUGGGAGUUAACCAGGAGAUGGAAGACCUCUCUCUCUCUCUCUCUCUGCCUCUCCUUCUCUCUGUGUAACUCUGACUUUCAAGUAAACAAAUAAAUCUUUUUUUAAAAAAUGAGAAAUAAACUCU